AUAUAUAGAUCAUUACUGUUUUUAAUAUGAUGACUUUUUGCUUCUCUUCUUUCAGAUCAUACUUCACUUCCAAUAUGUUGUUCUCUCUUUGGAGAGGCAUUGCUAUGGGUUCAAGUUUUCCCAUUCUGCCAAUUCCUUCUGCUGUGCAGGUCAUAAGUUCUGAUCUCACAAUUCUCAUUUCUCUCUUAAAUCAUUCAUGAAUAGCCUGCUGUAGUUCCAUUGUUUCUUGGAACUCCACAGGAUCCUUUGCCUCAUCAGAUAUUGAAUCAUUUUCUUUUUCAUUAAUGUUUAUUCAGAGACAUUUGAACUUAUUUAGAAGUCCUGGAGGUCAUAUUCCCUUCUAUUAUUAAUACCUUCGCUGUUGAUUUAUUUGCUUAUGCUCAAGGUUUUUAAAUGAACUUUUUUCCUUCUGAAAUUUUUUAUAAUCUCGGUCUUUUCUUUUCACAAUCCCUUAUGGUUUAUUUUGUGACUCCUUCCCUUUUCAUAGUAGAUCCCCAAAGUCUGGACCUCAAAUCUAUAUGUGUCUCCUCCCAAGCUAAGCAAAUCACUUUUAAUCCAACUCAGCCAUUGCCUGAAGUGCUUUCUUAAGGGACAUGUUAAAAUAAAGAUAAAUGAAGGCAAACUUGCAAAAGACUUUGGGGAAAAAGCAUGCAAGAACCUUGUGGAAGAGACUGUUUGCAAAGGCAGUUGACUGCUGGCCUGGAACCAUUUGGGGCUGCAUUCUAGAAUGAGAGGGAAGGAUAAGUGAGAGGACAGAGAGACCCAGAGGAGCCUUUUGCCUUGGGAUGCUGUGAGGGAGAGAUGGGAGAACUUCCUGUGGCCAUUCUAAUGGGUAACAGGGGGGGUUGGCUAAGCUCCGGACCUACCUGAGGAGACCCAGUAAUCCAGAGGCUCUUUUCCUGGUCCUGACCCUCAUCCUGAUCCCGUCAGUUAGACCCAGUUCCUGGAGAUUUCAUCUGCGUGAGACAAGUUGCCUGGCCAGAACCUGUUGCUAUACUCUGAGCCAGCUCAUGCUUGGCUUAAGCCUGUUGGCUUCUAGCUAAAACUAUAAUCAGAACUUUGUUCUCAUACUUGUGGACCAGCUAGUCAGAUUUCAGUUAUCCAGAAGGGUUUAGGCAGAGAGAGAGAGAGAGUAAAUAGAGUAGCCCAAUGGUGUUGGGACCAAGCUGGCCCUUGAAGACCAGUAUCCCAGCGGGAGGAGGUAGAACCUGCUAGUUUGGGCAGCUCCUUUUACCCCAGUCCACCACCCAUCCUGCCAUUUAUAAGUAGAGUCGGGGCCAGCUGUUGACUUGAACUCUGUUACCCUGAUAUUAAGUCCAGUAACCUGUGGAAAUUCCAGAGUAAAUCCAAUGGACAUGGAAAAACAGCUUAAGCCACAGACGUUCUGGUUUUGUAGCAGAAGCACAAACAGUUGCUUAUCUAGCAGACCAUCACUUACCUGAGAAGCAGAGAUGCUUGUUUUGACUUCUGUUAUUUCCUGGGUGAGAUACAGUUUAAGAAAGAAUUGAAGAAAAGAAGAAACUCACAUUCAGUUAUUUCCAAUUCUUUGUGACUCCUUUUGGGGUUUUCCUGGCAAAGAUAUUGGAAGGAUCUGGCAUUUCCUUCUCCAGGUCAUCUUUUACAGCUGAGGAAAUUAAGCUGCUCAGGAUAGGAGACAAGCUGCUUAUGGAGGUAAAAGCAGAGAAGGAGGAAGGAAAAAGCAAGACAAAGGAACAAAGAGGAAGAGAAGUGAGAGAGACAACAAAGACAAUGAAGUUCAUGAGGAAAGAAAGAGAUAAUGUAGUACCAGGUUGCAGAGUUUAGUGACAGCUUACAUCAUUCUGUUGCCAAGGAAAAUAUUGAACUAGAAUCUAUGGAAGCCAAAAAUUAGACACAAAGUAGAUGCUUGUGAACUGGAGAAUGGCUGAAGAAAUGAUGGCAGAUGAAUGUAAUGAAAUACUGUAGAAACGACAAACAUGAAGAACUCUUUGAAACAUGGAAAGACUAGUAUGAACUAGUUACAGUAAAGAAAGCAGAACCAAGAAAACAGUAUACACAAUUAUUAUGAUAUAAAUAAAAACAAUAAAAGGCAGUUGAACCCCAAUUAAUUGUAAUUAAUGCAAAAUCUUGGUUCCGGAGAACAGAGAAGAAACCAAUACACAUCCUUCCUCUUAGCAGAGGAGUAGGAGACCAUGACUAUAGAAUGUUGCAUUUGCUGUCAUAUAUAACCAGGUAUUCGGAUCAGGUUCCUUUUUGGCAGGGAAAAGAUGAAAUCUGGCUGUGCGGCUUCUGGAAAUGUUAUUUCUAAAGAUGAUCUAAGUUUGGAUGGGAAGGAUUGUGAGUAUUUAGGAAGGAAAGUCUAAGUGUGGAAAAGCUUAGAUAAAAAAACAAAACAAAACAUUUUUUUUCAUGCCAGAAAAAGAGCCAGUGCAAUAGCAGCAGCACAGUGGAAAAUUAGUGGAGAAUGGGGAAGGGGAGGGAGAGAACGAUGCUCCAUCAGGUUUAGUAGAGGUCUGGUGGUGUGAAAAUGAAGCUGCUAAGGCAACCUGCACUUUCUCCCAGCUAGUUAUUUCCAUCUCUUCAAACUCUAUAAGAAGAUAAGAAGGGAUGGAUUUCAAAUGAGAUCUGAUGAAAGUUUUUGUUGUUCUUUAUGACCCUAAUUAUUAUUCUUUAUGACCCUAAUUUUGGGUUUUCCUGGAAGAGAUAUUAGAGUGGUUUGCCAUUUCCUUCUCCAGCUCAUUUUACAGAUGAGGAAAGUGAGGCAAACAGGGUGAAUUGAUUUGCCCAGGGACACACAACUAGUAAGAAUCUGAGGUCAGAUUUGAACUCAGGAAGAUGAGUCUUCCUGACUUCAGGUCUGGGUGCUAGCUGUCUGUGGAAAGCUGGUAAAGUGCUUUAACUUUUUUUUUUUUAAUUCCCUCUUUCUGUCGUAGUAACAACUCUAAAACAAAAGGGCAAGGGCUAGGCAAAUGAAGUUAAGUGAAUUUCCCAGGGUCACUCAGCUAGGAAGUGUCUGAGGUCAGAUUUGAAUCCAGGCCUUCCCAUCAGGCCUGGAUCUCUAUCCACUAUAUUACCUAGCUGCCCCCAAAGACCUCUUGUCUUUCCUCCUCUACCUGAAAUUGGCAGAUAUUUACUUCAAGAUUUUUAAGCUUUUAAAGGUCAUAAUUUCUCAAUAACUUAAAAGCUGUAUUUACUAUUGAUAUAAAAUUAUGACUAGUCAUAACUUCUUUGUGGUUUACAGCUUAUAAACAGGGAGGCUACAAUGAAGAGAACCAGCAAAUGACUUAACAGUAUUGAUAGGGGUGGGUAUAGAGGAGAGCUUACCUUUCUACCUUGCUACCUCUAUCGCCAUCCAAGGUGGAAUUUGGGUUAGAGAAGGGUAUUGUAUUAUAGGAACUGAGACUUUUAAGUAGAGGUAACUGACAGUGCAGAUACCAUCUUUCUGAGGUUAUCAGCUUGUUUUGGGGGGAGGUUUAUUUAUGUUCUUUAGUUUAGAUAUCCCAAACCCUUUCCACCUUUCCCUUAGUUAUUAAACCAAACUUUCCUGUUAUUAUAGUGUCUGUGUUUAUUAGCUCAGGGUCUGGCUCUGCCUGCCCUGGGCUGGUAUCCCCAUCCCAAACCAGAUUACUGGCCCCCCAAAACCACCCUUGAACCUACAUAGUUAUAUAAGUGUCAAAUUAGUUAUUUCAGUAAGCAUUUUCAGGUAUCAAGCAGUCAAAUGUUUUUUCUCUGGAGAAAUAGACUUAGACAAGUUUAUUUCUCCCUUCCUUCCUUCCUUCCUUCCUUCCUUCCUUCCUUCCUUCCUUCCUUCCUUCCUUCCUUCCUUCCUUCCUUCCUUCCUUCCUUCCUUCCUUCUUUCUUUCUUUCUUUCUUUCUUUCUUUCUUUCUUUCUUUCUUUCUUUCUUUCUUUCUUUCUUUCUUUCUUUCUUUCUUUCUUUCUUUCUUUCUUUCUUUCUUUCUUUCUUUCUUUCUUUCUUUCUUUCUUUCUUUCUUUCUUUCUUUCUUUCUUUCUUUCUUUCUUU